GACAGAGGGUGCAAACGUUGCUCGGAAUCACUGGGCGUAAAGGGCGUGUAGGCGGGCAGAUAAGUCGGGCGUGAAAUCCCCAGGCUCAACCUGGGAACUGCACUCGAAACUGUUUGUCUUGAGUAUCGGAGAGGAAAGCGGAAUACCUGGUGUAGAGGUGAAAUUCGUAGAUAUCAGGAGGAACACCGGUGGCGAAGGCGGUUCUCUGGGCAUUACCUGACGCUGAGGAGCGAAAGUGUGGGGAGCGAACAGG
rnacentral:rRNA from 1 species